CGUGUAGGCGGCCUUGCAAGUCAGGCGUGAAAGCCCUCGGCUUAACCGGGGAAGUGCGUCUGAAACUGCUUGGCUUGAGUACGGGAGAGGGAGGCGGAAUUCCCAGUGUAGAGGUGAAAUUCGUAGAUAUUGGGAGGAACACCGGUGGCGAAAGCGGCCUCCUGGACCGAUACUGACGCUGAGACGCGAAAGCGUGGGGAGCAAACAGGAUUAGAUACCCUGGUAGUCCACGCGGUAAACGAUGGGCACUAGGUGUGGGGGGUAUCCACUCCUCCCGUGCCGAAGCUAACGCAUUAAGUGCCCCGCCUGGGGAGUACGGCCGCAAGGUUAAA
rnacentral:rRNA from 1 species